AGCAAAAAUUAAUUAGCUGCCAUGCAUUCAGACAAUGGAACAGGCCAUGCAUUCUUAUGGCGCCGUAUGCAUGACGCGCGUGCGUAUGUAGGAGGAAACAGACAUAUAAUUGAAGUGUCAAUUAUAUGUACGUGUCUCUUUCACGAGACUAGCAAAGGUUAGGUAGGAAACAUUCUGCCGACUCGAUCGUGUGGUCGGAAUUACACGGCAGGUUCAUUCGUGCCUACGUACGUAUGCUCGUCUCGUACGUGUACAUGUACGUACGUAUAGACCGAUCGAAGAAUUCGAACGGGCGUUUUUCAUGCAUGCACAUAUUAUCUCCAAGGUCGUCCAUGCAUGCAUGUAAAUUCUAUGGACCAUAUUAUUGCUAAUAUAUACGUACGGAGUACUUGUGAAGAAAAGAUUGAACCUUCGAGAUAGUACGUGUUUAGCUAGGCAUACGAAAAUGGAUGGCUUGGAGGUGGCCACGUGUGGAAGCGUAUAUAUAUGGUAUUUGUGUGUAUUUUUGCUUUGUGCCUAAAUUCACCCCGUGAGUAAUACUUUGGUCAUGUCAAAAGUUUGUCUCUUUAGUUUUGAUGUUAAGUUGUUUUUGGUAUUCUUGUUGGGGCUCACUUGUUUUGUUUUGUUUUUCCUUUUUCUAUUUUUAUAAGUUUGGAUAAGCAUUUUUUUCAUAAUUUUUUUGUAUUGUUCCUCUUUUCGAGAAUCCUGUAUCUAAAGUAAAUUUAAGUGUUAUAAAAUAAAUUAAGCACGUCACAAUUUCGUAACCGAGUGGCGAGCCUGCCUUAGAAUACUCAUGCAUGUUUCUUGUCCACUUGUAAUAAAUUUCAUGACAACAGACGAAAAUGCAAAAACAUGUAUUCGUCCGUUCAAUAAAAAAUGUCUUAAUUUUGACAAUACUUGAAUGCACCGUGCAUUCGUGCAUUUAUGCGCACGUACAUUUUCAACACGGAACAUGUCCAGUGCCAGUAGCUAGGCGACACCGAAAAGUCAGCAUGUAUUUUCGUAUGCCUAGCUAAACACAUACAUCAUGAGGCGUGG
rnacentral:lncRNA from 1 species